ensembl:lncRNA
GAGUGUGUGUCCAUCUGGGAUCCUAGCCUUCAAACUACUGUGACUGAGCUCCCUCCUGGCAGAAAGAGCAGGGGACGAGGGGAGACAGAGUGUGUAAAGGAAAGCCUCACAGGGGUGAGGAGGAAGCUGUCCAAAGCCAGCUGGCCUGGCUUUGAGAAAAGCAAGAGGAAAAGUGAGAGAAAAAAAAGCAGGAAAAGAAAGGUACAAAAAGAAGAGUGAAAGAAAGUAUUGAGGUUAUAGAAAGUUUCUGGGUGUUAGAAGGAAGUGUGGCCUAGCUGAAGUGAAGACAGAAGUGGAGAAGGCCUUUACAGCAGGCUCUGUGAAGGCAGCUGCAGCAGCACAGUAGAUACAGUUUCUCCCCACUUUAUCACACCUAAAACUAGCUCAAGAAGGCAAUUACUCCAAUAUAGAGUUGGUUAAUGCGCUUAAAAAAUGGACAGCCGGAUCAGCUAAAACGUUUCUAGUUUGUCACUUAAAAGAUAUAGCAACAUUUAAAAAUAUAUAUAAUUAUUUUUAUUCAGUUAUUUGUCUAGAAACUGUUUGUUUAUUGUAUGGUAUGGAACAUUAAAUGUUAUAGCUAUUUCCAGUUAGAACUCCAAAGUUGAACCCAAAUGGUUUUCUGGACUAACAUAGAUCUACUUGAUUAUAUUAAUUUGUAAUAUGGAUAAUUAUGCAAUAUAUUUAUCAAUAAACAUGUCCAAAACACAAAUAAAGAAACAGUAACAAAAAAAAUGUACCAAAUCAACCCACCCAUUUUUUAAACGUCAUAGUGUGGAUUUUACAAUAGUUAUAUAGCAUCAUGCAAAAUGAAUUUCCUAUUUACUGCUGCAUCAUUUAUAACUGCAGAGUCGGAUGUGAAAUUGAGUUUAAAGAAAGGAGUGAUUUAUUUACGUGGAUUGAUCUGCGCACGACUACCUGAGUAUGAGGACCUUGUUCCUUUAAAUCCCGGUCAAAACAACUCGUGUGCGCGGAACCACACCUCUUCCUCAACUCCAGCAAACUUACACGUGACUGUACCACACGCGACGUA